UCACUACAGCAAUGUAGUUACACCGACAGGCAAUGUUGAUUUUUUCACUUGUCGGGAAGGGUGAGAACCUUCGAUUAAGGUUCGACUCGAGCGAAAGCGAGAGAACGUUGCCAACGGCAACGGCCCGAAGGGUGAGGAGCGAAGCGACGAAUAAUCCUUCCCCCACCACCA
rnacentral:sRNA from 1 species